GUGAGGAGGGAUGCCCCCGUUCGGCGACAGCAUGGCUGGGGAACAAACAGGCUGCCGUGUGGUGGCCAGGUUUAACCCCAGGAUUUCAGUUGAAAUGGAAAGUUUGGAAAAUCAGAGCUGCCGUGGCUCAGCCCGCCCCACGAGGAGGAGGUGCUGGGGCUCUGGGGGGUUCUUGUGGGAGAAGCAGGAAGUCACUCCCUGGUGAGGGGCCAGGUCCCCCAGCUGCUGGGGACACUAAAUGACAUGCAGACUCAAAGCGUCCAGCCCGGAGCUGGCCUCCUGUCCCUGCUCCUGCCUGCCCUGAUUGCCAGUCCGCCCUGGGACAGCCUGACUUCGCC
ensembl:lncRNA